rnacentral:lncRNA from 1 species
GAUCGGCAGCCGCGGACCUGCACCGCGCAGCCCCUCACGCUCUCCCGUCAUCCGGUCUCGUCUCUAAACACGCGGACACGAUGCCCAAUUCGGUCGCCGUCUUCGCCGCGCUGGACGAGCUCGUCCCACCGCAGGCGCUCCUCGCGUUAUCCAAGGUCAUCGUCGCGAUCUCCGAUCUGGUGGCGUUCGCGCAGGCGCAGGACACGAUGAGCCGCAUCGGCCACCUCAUCCUCUUCAGCUUCGUCUACGCCAUCUACAGGCUCAUCACGCACGAGUGGGUGCCCCAGGUGGACGUCGAGCUCACGAAGGAGGAGAAGGCGGGCUUGCCCGGCAAGCGCUGGAAGCCCGGCACGCCGUUUCCCAAGGAUUUCAUCCCGUGCUACGAUCCCGGCACGCUCGAGAUGCUCGGCCCCGACAUGCCCGCGGACACCGCCGAUCAGGUGCGGGUCAAGAUCGAGCGCGCGCGUAUCGCGCAGAAGAAGUGGGCCAAGUCCUCGUUCAAGCAGCGCCGCCUGCUCAUCAAGACCAUCCAGAGGUUCGUCCUCGAGAAUCAGGACACCAUCUGCAAGGUCUCCGCGAGGGACUCCGGCAAGCCCCUCGUCGACGCCGCGUUCGGCGAGGUCAUCGUGACGCUCGAGAAGUGCAAGUGGCUGAUCAAAGAGGGCGAGAAGUGGCUCAAGCCCGAGAAACGGUCCUCCGGUCUCAUGAUGUUCUACAAGAACGCCCGCGUCGAGUACCACCCAGUCGGCGUCAUGGGCGCGAUCGUCCCUUGGAACUAUCCCUUCCACAACGGUGCGUCCCACUCGCGUCCUCGCCUCGUUUUCGUCUUCGCGUCUUUCCGUACCGUUCGUUCGCGCCGUUCGUUCGCGUCGUUCCAAGGCGCUCGUGGCUGACUCGUCAAAAACCCUGUUUCGUCCGCGUUUGUUUGACAGUGUUCAAUCCGCUGCUCGCCAACGUUUUCGCGGGUAACGCCCUGGUCGUGAAGGUCUCGGAGUACGCCUCGUGGUCCUCGCUCUACUACGGUCGCGCCAUCAAGGCGUGCCUCGCGGCCGUGGGCGCGCCGGAAGAUCUGGUGCAGAUCGUCCACGGCUACGGCGAGGCGGGCAACGCUCUCGUCACCGGCGGCACGGACAAGGUUGUCUUUGUCGGGUCCACGGGCGUCGGUCGCGCGGUGAUGAAGGCGGCGGCGGAUACCCUCACCCCCGUGGUCCUCGAGCUCGGCGGCAAGGACCCGUUCAUCGUCCUCGAGGACGCCAGCCUCUCGCAGUGCGUCCCGAUGGCGCUCAGAGGCGCGUUUCAAUCGUGCGGCCAGAACUGCGCUGGCGCCGAGCGGUUUUACGUUCACGAGAAGAUCCACGACGAGUUCGUGAAACGGGUGAUGAAGGCGGCGAAUCAGCUCAGGCAGGGUUGGGCCCUAUCUCCGGGCGUGGAUUGCGGCGCGAUGUGCAUGCCCAACCAGGCUGCGUACGUGCAGAGCCUCGUCGACGACGCCGUCGCCAAGGGCGCGGUGGUGGAGUGCGGCGGCGCCAUCGAUAAGGACGCCCCGGGUCAGUUCUACCCCCCCACCGUGCUCACGAACGUGACACACGCGAUGAAGAUCAUGAAGGAGGAGGUGUUCGGGCCCGUGCUCUCGAUCGUCAAGAUUCGUUCAGACGACGAGGCGGUGGCGCUCGCGAACGAGUGCGACUUUGGCCUCGGCUCCAACGUCUUCGGCAGCAGGCGCCGAGCGCUCAAGGUGGGCGCCCAGCUCAACGCGGGCAUGACCACCAUCAACGAUUUCUGCGCCACGUACAUGGCGCAGUCGCUCCCGUUCGGCGGCGUCAAGGAGAGCGGGUUCGAUCGCUUCGCGGGCAUCGAGGGCCUCCGCGGGUGCUGCAACGUCAAGUCCGUCGUGGUUGACGGCAUCCCCGGGAUUCGCACGGACAUUCCCCCGCCGCUGCAGUACCCCGUGCAGCACUGCGCGUUCCCGUUCUGCAAGGCGCUGUGCCACAUGUUCUUCGGGCUGAACAUUCUGGAGAACGCGCGGGGUCUGUUCAUGCUCGUGUCGGCGAUGAUGAUUCCCACGCCGAAGGUGCUCCUGAAGGGUGGAAAGACGGAUUGAUGCUGACUAUUUGCACAUACGAUUUUAAUCAAAUAAAUAAAAUGCAAAAUAAGGACUAAAUUCCUGCACUUUGGUCAUACGGCCGACGCAAAUGUGAAGCGAUCACCUCCUCGCCUGCGGCAAAGAAAGAAUAACAUCACCAGCAAGUACGUACUCGAGGUGACGGACAUUCACAGGCGCCACCUUCGGAAGAGGAGGGCGGUCGUCAUGGCGCCCUUCACCGCGUCGAAGCGAAGGCAGGCGAAGCUCAUAGUCUACUGCGGCGUCACCGCCAUGGGCCUGAUCGGCUACGGUGAGUGCGCGCGCGCUCCGAUCCCCAUCGGAAAAUCCAAUGCCGCCCCUCUAUCCGACACCCGCGUGCUCACCGAGCCCCGCCCCGUUCUUCUCGCAGCCAUACUCAUCAGCCUCCACGCCGCAUCCGGGGGCUCGUGGGCGGAGGAGGCGCGCCGCCUCGAGGCAUCGCGAGACGCGCACAGCGACCGCGACUUCCUCAGCCGCGAUGCCUUCACCGGCGGGUACGGCGUGGACCGGUUCGGGAUCGAUCGGUCCGCGCACGGCAUCGGCUCCCGGGGCGGCGUCGCCCGGCCGCAGUCGCUCGGGAACGACGCGUAUCACACGGACGGCCAGAUCGAUCCGCUUGGCGACGACGACGCCGACUCGGACGCGACGGCGUCGCUGGUGGAGCAAGGGCUGAUGGAAGAGGACGAGUUCGGGUCGCAUCACGCGCUCGGACUCGGCUCCGGCUCUGGCUCUGACGGGGAUGGGGACGACGACGACGACGACCGCGGCGCGGGUUCGUCGGACGAGGGAGACGUCGACCCGUCGCUCUUCGACGAAGAUGACGAGGACGAAUGCCACGAGUCCCCAAACACCGAGUACUGGGGCGAGCUCUCCAAAGGCGUGCUCGCCAACGGAAACGCCAACAAGGCGGAGACGGCGCGAGCGUGCUGCGAGUCGUGCAAGAAGAACGACGUCGUCUGCAACGCGUGGGUGUGGGACCCGUCGUCCAAGGCGUGCUGGAUGAAAAAGACGACGACGUACCAGCCCCCGGCGUACGAUCCCGCCAAGAUAACCUUCACCUCGGGGGCGCUCCACCCCACCCAGCCGAGGUACGCAAAGGGAUCCGCUUCAAGUAAAGACCCGCCGUUUUGCCUUCACACGAUGAUCACGAGCAACGGCCAGCCGUACAUGAACUGGCAGACGCGCGUGUUUCACCAGACGUGGCGCAAGGCGUCAUCCGCGCGCGGGUCCCCGCUACGACACUUCACCAGGGUUCUCCACAGGACCCGAGACGACGAACUCGUGAAUGAGAUUCACACCGUUCGGAUCGACCCGACGCAUCCCGAGUGCGACAACGGCUGCGACUACGCGGUGAAGGACAGGGCGCGCGCCAUCGCGGAGUGGACCAAGCACCCGGACGCGCGCAGGUGCUCGCACGUGCUCAUGGCCGAGACGGACUACCUCUUCGUCCGUUCGCCGCCCCCUAGUGUCUUACUGGACAAGGGCCACUCGUACGGAUUUCUGUUCGGGUACAUCAUCCCGUGGCACGCGGACGCCAUGCCGGCGUCGCGCGAGUUCAAGCAGUUCAUGCAGCGCGAGGGCACGUGGCGCGAGGGGCUGAAGAUCGAGGACGUCCCCCAGAGCGGCAACGCGCCGCAGGUGAUGCACGCGGACGACCUGGCGAGAGUCGCGCCCACCUGGGCGGACCUGGUCGAGUUCGGGGAGGAUAACGCCGUGAUCAAGAAGGUCUUCGGGUGGGUUCGGGACAUGUACGCCUUCGAUUUCGCGCUCGCCAGCGUCGGAAUCGAGGUGCACUACCCGCCGGUGCCCUUCAACAAGCUCAUGGUGCAGCCCCCGGCGGAUGUGCGACUGGGUGCCGCUUCGUUCAUGCACUACACGUGGUCGCCGAUUUUGAGCGAUAAGACGGGCGCGACGCGGUGGAGGUUCGAUAAGAGGCAGUUCCAGGGCGCCGCGGGGAGCAGUCCGCACUUCGUGGCGCUGGAGGAGCAGCCCUUGCCGCCGAGAUGGGACCCGAAAGCGGGGUACAAGCUGCAGGCUGGCGAGGUUGUCACCGAAGAGGGCCUGGCGCUCAUGACGAUGAUGGCCGAGGCUUUCAACGGGGGCGUCCGCGCGCUGCCGGGGAAGUUUCCCGAGGGGUACGACAGUCUCGCGGACGUCGUGAACGCGCGGACGGGCACGCGGCGAUGAUGCGCGGGCGAUGUAGACUUAGCUCGACGUGUGGAAAUACCAAACUCUCCAUCAAAUCGAUAAACUCUCCAUAAAAUACUAAACUCGACAAUAAGUUGUAUAGUCAAUAACAUUAAGAAAACAUACAAUUUAGUAAUUCGUUGAAAUACACCGGCGUAUAUGGUAGACUAGUUGGUAUCGUUGUCAGGAAAUUGCGUCGACGUGUCCCGGACUGCCUGGUGCGCGUGAAUAGGUUUUACCUAGGUCUUCCUCGCAUUGGAGGCCCACUUCAGCGAUACACUCGCUGUAUCCAUCCAACACUACAUGUCUGGUAGGAAGAUGGCUUCUUUCGCCCUCACCACCGCUCGCAUGAUUGUCGCCAAGCCCUCCGUGGCGGCCUCCGCGCGCGCAGCCUCCGCGUCCGCCGUCCGCGUUCCCGUGGCGGCUGCGCCCAUGAUGGCUCACAGCGUCCGCGCUGUCUCUCAGCGCGGCUUCGUCGGCUUCGCCGCUCCCCGCGUGUUCGCGCCCCGCCAGCAGCGCGCCGCCUUCACCAUGGAGGCCGCCGCCGAGGACGGCGCCGCCGUCUCUGGCGAGGAGGGAGUCAAGCUCUAUGUCGGUGCGUUCCGUGCCUUUUUCAUCUCCGCCCGUAACGAACGCGCUCGCCGCUCCGCGCGCGCGGGUCCGUCCCGCGUACGCUUCGCGACCCCGCCGCCAAUGCGCGUCAGCUUUACACGCGCCGAUGGCGAUGCUCAAGCGUCGAUCGACCCUUCCGAGGCCACCGACGGCGCCCCUUCCGGUCGCGAUCGCGGCUCCCCCGAUCACCGAUCGCGUAACUGACCUUUUCCCCUCAAUGCAUGCCCCCUUUCGACGAUCCAGGCAACCUCAGCUGGGGCGUGACCAACGACUCCCUCGCCGACGUCUUCAACCAGUACGGCGCCUCCGACGUCACCGUCGUCACGGACAUGAACACCGGCAGGUCCCGCGGCUUCGGCUUCGUCACCGUCCCCGACCAAGCCGUCGCGGAUGCGUGCAUCGCCGCGCUCGACGGCGCCGACGUCGACGGCCGCGCCAUCCGCGUCAACGUCUCCGUGGCGCGCGAGGACCGACCCCCGAGGCCCGAUCGCCCUCCCCGCGACGGCCAACGCCGCGGGUACGAUUUCGACGGUCGCAAGGUGUACUUCGGCAACCUGUCCUGGGGCAUGGACCACCUCGACCUCCAGGAUCUGUGCGGGGAGUUUGGCACCGUGGAGGAUGCGCGGCUCAUCACCGACCGCGAGACGAAUCGCUCCAGGGGUUUCGGGUUCGUGACCAUGUCCACCGUGGCGGAGGCGGAGGAGGUCGUCAACCAGCUCAACGGGCAGGACGUCGAUGGACGCGUGCUCCGCGUCAACAUCGCCAACGUCGACAAGUAAGCGCGACGGGGGUAAGGUGACGAUGUGACUGACGCGUUCCUUCGGGGAAAAAUUACGGAUAUCAUUGUUUUUUGCUAAGUAACACAAACGGGGAGACACGCGGUGGAUGACGCGGCGGGGGAGGCGGCGACGCGGUUGUAGCUUAUUGUCUUCUCUCACUGGCGAUGCGGUUGCACAGCUUGUACAGGCGACGCGAGAGCCACGCUUGCAGGUUUUCGUUUGAACCCCCGGGACAAUGCGUCCCGGUUGUAACACGAAAUUUCAGGCUGAAGUUUUUCAACACGGUUUCGCUCGCCAUCCUCAGAUUGACCUCCCCGGCGCGUAUCCGGCUGUCGUACGCUCGGGACGAUGGGGACCAACGGCGCAAAUUUCGCGUGGACCCCGUCGGUGAGCAUGCUCUCGAUCGAGCGCGUCGCCGGUGACGAGGUUGGGUGCUCCACGCCCCGGCGAGAGUCAACCGACGCGGGUGGUGACCUGGCGGCAACUAUCCUCGGCCGCCUGUGCCUCGACCUCCCGGACGUCUUCGCGGGCGAGGUGCUCCGACGUCUGAGCGCGUGCGAUCGCACGAUGCUCGCGUGGACGUGCGGUUGCGUCAGGCGCGCGGUUCUCGCGUCGAAGCUACCGAGGUGCGGCGUGGUGAACCACUCGAGACGCGAGAGAGAUGUCGAACCGCGCGAUAUCGUCGGGUCUCGCAACCACGGCACCGAGCCUCCUUCGGGGCGACGACGCGCGGACGAGAGCCGCGUGAUGAAGUUCGACGAGCGCGACCUGCUAAACACUCCACGGCGCGUGCGCUGGGCCCACGAGCUCGGCAUGCGGCUGCACUGGAAACUGUGCGAGAGCGCGUCGUCCCGCGGACGACUCGACGUGCUGAAGGAGCUGAGAGCGUUGCGAUGCCCGUGGAACUGGAGGUCGUGCGCCGCGGCUGCGAAGGGCGGACACCUGGCGACGCUCGAGUGGCUGAAGGACAACGGAUGCCCGUUUCCGUGGGACGUCCUCGUCGCCUUCGCGGCGGAGGGCGGUCACAGGGAGGUGGUGGUAUGGUGCCGCGAGCGGGGAUGCCCGUGGGACUGCGAGACGUCCGCAUCCGCGGCUCAGGGCGGGCACCUCGAGCUGCUCAAGUGGCUGCACGCGAGCGGGUGCCCGUGGGACGGCGAGACCACGAUGUGGGCGGCACGCGCGGGUCGCAGGGAUAUCUUCGAGUGGGCGAAAGAGGCGGGAUGCCCCGGCCACGCGUGGAGCGAGCUCGUGUUUCGGGAGGAGCCCGGGCAUUUCCUCGCGUCGCCGACAACCGGAAGUACGUGAGUAAGUACGGGAGUGAGAGUCGACGUCCGUGAGUCAAUGUUUUAGCAGUCGUUUUUAGAACAAUACUAAUGUUAGGUGGUGGUCGUUUCAUUCGUCCUAAUGCUCGUGAGUUCAAAUGGCAAACCCAGCCCCCGCGCGUCCGGGCCAACCCCAGGCCCGGGCGCGUGUGUGGUAUGGUAUGGUACAUCUAUCGCCCCGCCGUCUCCCGCGUCGCCGCGGCUCUCGUCGCGCGCGCCCCAUCCAUCUUUUCGCGCACGACGCUGUCCGGCGGGUUCACUCCCGCCAUCGCCGCCUGCACCGCCGCCUGCGCGGCCGCCUGCAUCACCUCGCGGUGCAACGUCGCCUCAACCUCCGCCGGGGAGGUGCCGAAGAGCGUCGGCGACAAGCCGCUCAAACCGCUCAGCGACACGCUCCCUUCGAGAUCACCCUCGGACGCGCCGGACGCGCGCCUGUCGCCGCCGAUCGUCUUGGGGCCGAUGGCGCCGCUGUAGAACGAGUAGAGCGCCUGGAGGGGCGCGACGAACGCGGGAGACGCCCAAGAAGCUCCCCCGACGGCGGCUCCCCCGAUGGGAGCGGCGGGGGACGGCGCCGAAGCCGCCUGCGCGAGACCCGCGAUCCACUCGGGGGAACGAAGGAGCGCAGCCGCGGCGGCGGCGGUGUCCCGAGGGUUCACGGGCGGGGCGUGCAUGGGCGGGGAGAAGAGCGAGUUGGCCCCCGCGACGUCCUGUCGGAACUUGACGCUCUGGCCGCCCUUUCGGGACUUUUUGCUCGCUCGUCCGUCGAGCUCCCCAAAGUUGACGGCGGGAAUGGGCACGGGGGCGGGCGCGCCGCCGGGUCCCGCGCGCUGGAAGAAGGACGAGAGCCUGGACGCCGCCUUCGCGGCGUUGGCGUUGUUCGCCGCCGCAGCCUGCGCGUUGGCGGCGUCCCACUUCUUGUCCAGGGGAACCUGCCCGAGGACCGACUUGUGCUGCGACGCGGCGGCGGCGGCGGCGGCUCGCUCCAACGCAGCCUGCUGCGCGCCGGUUCCGUAGCCCUUCUCCACCGCCGCGCCCGCGGCGCCCUCCGCGAGUCGCUUGGUCACGCUCGUCGCGCCGAGCCACCUGAGUUCGCCUCGCCCCUUCGCCUUACCCUCCCGCUCGACAAACUCCAAAACCCCGAUGCGAAUCAGGAUCGACGCCACGUCGUGCAACCGCCGCGCGGCGCCGGCGAGCGCGCCCGUUCCGUGCGCCCCCGGCGCGUCCGGCGCGGGCACGCCCCCGAGCCUCAUCGUGGCAACGCACGCGUCGAACGCGAUGGGCACGUGCUUCGGCGUGGAUCCCACGUGCUGCAUGAGCCUGCACGCGAGCGCCUUGAGGGAAGACGCGUCGCCCGAAGUAUUGGCAUCCUCCUGUUCGGCGGCGGCGAUGACCGCGGGCGCCUCCUCGAGGAGCUUCCCGAGAACGUUGGCGACGCGCGUGGCGCCGUGCCACUUGCACGCGCCCUUGCUGAUGCGCUCCGUCACGCCCACCGCCUCCAGAACGUUCAUGACGUCGUAGAGUCGGCGGCGCUUGACGCCCAGGCGCUCCGCCAGCGAGUCGACGGCGACGUUACCCGCCCACUGCGCCGUCGACCCGCCGCCUUCCGUCUGCACGGCGGACACGUUGUUCUCGACGUUGGCCUCGUCAAACUCGGCGACGAUGCGGUCGGUGAUGGACGCGAGGGAGUGGUCCUUGCGGACGUACGUGGGUCCUUGGUUGGCGGCGGCGACGGCUGCGGAUUUGGACGGGGACAUCCACGCCUCGGCGGGGAGGGAAUCCUUGACGCCCUUCUUGGACGACUUGAAAGCCUUCACGCCGGUGCCGGUGAAAGGGUUGGCGUGGCCCAUGGCGACGCCGUCCUCGUCGUCGCUCUCGUCCGCGAGCGCGCGAAUGGCGCGGUCCUUGGCGUUGGUGACGGGCGAGAAGAGCAGCCUGGUGGGCGCCAAACCCGCGGGGGAGCCCAGGAGCGCGCCCCUGGAGAGCGCAAAGUCCUCAGCCGCCUGCGCACCGCCGACGACGCCACCGCCGACGGUGUGCGCGAGCGUGGGGAUCGCGGGCGGUGGCAUCGCGGCGGCAUCGGCCGUCUGCUGCGCGUGCGUGGCGACGGACUGGGCCCCCGUCCGCGUCGCGGCGUUGUUGUUCAUCACCGUGUUCGGUCCGCGAUCUCUCGCGACGGUAAACGGGGACCCGCCCGCGUUUGCGAGGAACGCGUCGGGGUUCGCAGCCUUCAUCUCGCUCUGCUGGACGGCGUUGGCGAUCGCCGUUCGCAUGGCGCCGUCGCGGGAGCCGCUGCCGAGCACGGAGAGGAGCCAGCUGUGCGGGGAGAGCGUGGGGUUUUUGGACCCACCACCCGCGGCGGCGGCGGCGGACUUUGGGUCGUAACCGACGGCGGGCGCGACGGCGACGGGGGAGGCAGCCGCGGCGGCGGCAGCCUCGACCGCGGCGGUCUCGUCCUCGGCGCGCGCGUUGCGCUCGGCGUCAGUCUCCGCGCGCUCCUUCAUCUUGCGCGCGGCGCCGGUGACCGACCGGGUCUUGGCGUGGACGCUCCGCGGGGAUUUGGCAUCCUUAAACGCGGAACCGAGGGACCCGAGGGACCCGAGGGACCCGAGCGAGUUGGGCGCGCCGCCCGAGUUGAGCAGCAGCGCAGCCUGCGCCGGAGUAAACUUUCCGACCCCCGCGUUGUUCACCGUGGGCGGGGGAAUGAGUCCCGCAUCCGCGGCGGCGGCCAUCUUCUUGAGCGCCGAGUCUCCACCCGGCGUGCAAACCGGGGGCAGGUCCUGGCCGGUGAUGGGCAGGGCGGAGGCGCCCCGGGGGUUAGCGAAAAGGUGCGACGCGCCGAGCUCGUUGAGCGGCGUGUGGAAGAUGCUCGCGUCGAAGCCGUUCUUGUCGGCGCCGUCGGGCGUGCCGCCUUGAACUCCGAUGGCUUCCUUGAAAAACGUCUCGAGCGCGUUGUGCGAGAGAUCGUGGGGAAACUGCGCCAGCUCGACGGGCGGGCGGGGAAACGCCUCCGCGCCCCUCGGCUGCGAAUGAUGCUGCGAAUGCGGCGGGUGCCUGAUGCGCUUGGGGGAUCGAACGUCGAUCCUGUACGAGGAUCCGCGCUUGGCGCCGUACGAGGUGGGGGGCGCAACUUGCGCGCCCCUCGCCGCCAUCGGGUUGGCUCGAGCAAACGCAUCCUCGGAGGGCGCCACCGGGACGUCGUCGGCGUCCAAGACGACGGGAUUCUUCCACCCCGACCACGUAUCUGGGAUGUAUGCGAGGGAUGGGUAUCACCGUGAGCGCGCGCGGCGUCGGUUGGUGGGUGGGAACGCGAACGGUCGCGGGAACUCAAACCGUUGGGCAAACGAAAGCGCGGAUUGGAUGGACGAUGGGAUGAAUCGCUCUUGGGAGACGCACCCGCGAGGGAGCUUCGGAUGCGGAGGCACGCCGCGCCCUUCGGCACGUCGUUGUUGGCGAGCACGCGGAUGGGACCGGACACGCCGGAGCCGAGGAACUCGUCGCUCGUCGCGGAGAAGAUCCCGAAGAGGAGCCUGCGGCGCGAGAUGGCGGGGCGGGCGAUGUCAGCAAAAAACGUCACGGCGCGGCGUGGGGAAAAAUCCGUUGGACGAACCAAAAAAAACAACGGGCGAGCCGCGGCCGGGCGCCGGGCCGCGCCGGGCGCGGGGAUGGCGAGUGGAGGACGCGGCGGGGUUUCUGCGAUACGCACCUGAAGAUCUUGCACUUGUUGGGUCCGAACGCCUGGACGUGGUUGGACGCCUCGUCGAUGGAGAUGAAGAGGUUGCGCGCAUCCUUCCACUUGUCCCUGUCGUUGGCGGUUGCUGCGUCCGGGGCGGAGGCGCCCGGGGCGCCCUUCUGGGUCCUGCCCUGCUUGCCGAACCGCUGAAUGGCGCUGAGGAUCGGUCCCUGGCAUCCCUUGGCGCAUCUGCUGCGGGUGACGGGGAGCCAUGUGUUGCCAUUCUUGUCCGUCAGCGCGGCGGAACCGUUGGCGGUGAGUCCCUUGGAGGAUUUGCUGCCGCUGGAUGCCGACCCGCGCGACAGCGGCUCGGCGUAGACGAGGUAGAUGAGCGCGCGAACGCUGGUGCCGUUGUACAGCCUGAGCUCGUACUCCAGGGCGCUGUCGCGAACGUUCUCGGGCACGUCCAGGCUGAAGCCGCGCUCGGUCGCCUCGUAGAUGCCGAGCACGUCGCCGUUCGGCGCACCCUCGGCGGCAUUCGCCCAGCUCCCAGCGGUGGCUCGGUCGAAGGUGAGCUCGACCUGAUUGUAGGAGCGCUUCUUCUUACCGAGCUUGUAGGCGCUGUUGAUGGGAAAUCGAGGUGGAUUUAGAUGGAACGUCAGGAAGUAUGCGCGAAUGGAUCGUUAAGACCGAUACGGGACGGGCGGGAUGCGCGCGGGCGGGGCGGGGACCGAGAUUCGGGCGAGUUGGGCAGCACGGCGAAACAUCGCAUCGCGAGAUUUCCCCGAGGUUAACGUUCGGCGGGACGCACCGGACUUCGUGCGUCUCCCUCUCCGGCUCGGUCCUCUCGACGAAGCCGUUGGGGUGCGCGGUGAUGAUGGGACACGGCACAAGCUUGGACAUGUCCUCUUCGACCACGACCGGCGCGGCGGCGCGCGCGCCGCGGCCGGAAGCCGGUCCCGCCGGCUUCGGCUUCGGUUGCCCCGCCAUUUGCUGUGAAGCCGGACGAGAUUCGGGUCGUCGGCGAAGCGCGCGUGCGUGCGAGGCGACUGUGGUCCCAGGCUACCGCACGGGUGUUAUCCACGUCACGUGGACUCUGAUGCGUCUGCGCGCGCGAGUGUGACCGCCUGUCGUCGGUCGUGCGCGUGCGCGUACCUGUGUUCGCCCACGCGUGACCCAGGUCGCUUUUGCCUCAGCGGCUCGCCAACAACGAUCAGAAACUCGUCCCUCACGGCUAGCGUAAUGUCCGGCCGGAAGAACGCGAACGGUCAAGGUAUCAGCUUCCUCAUCAGCGUGGCCCUGACUGGUCGCCAUAGGAAAAAACAACAAGGAGUUGAUAAACCGUCGCGUUCGCCGUUGAUUUUCGCCCCAAACGCGCGCGAUCUUCGGCUAGGGACCGUUGCGGGGGCAAACGCGGGGUUAAAAGACUGGGAAAUCUCGAGUCACGUCGCCGCGUCGGGCAUCCCAACCGUCGUCGCCGCGCGCACGGGACGGAAAAACGUGACGACCGACCAAAGACACGCGCGCCGGCGCGGUCGGAGCCCCCGCCCCGCCCGCGCGCCGUCACGAACCGAUCCCGCGCGCCACCAGCCCGCUCCCUCCAACGACCCCCGGCGUCAGCGGCGCCGCCACCCCGCGUUUCUUCGAGCUCUUCGUCUCCCCAGUCGCGCGUUCGUCGCGGCGGCCCAGCGGCCACCGCGGCAGCAGCGGCACCUCCCGCCGCGCGCCCUCCGCCUCCACCUCCACCUCGCCCUCGCCGCCGCCCAGCCACGGCGCCGGGGGUUCCUCCGCGAGGCCCAGCGCCAAACGCUCGGCGCCCGCCCACGCCACCAUCACGCCGUUGUCCGUGCACCACCUCGGCGGCGGCGUCACCAGCGGCAGCCCAACCUCCGCCGCGACCCUCGCCAGCGACUCUCGCACCGACUCAUUCGCCGCCACCCCGCCAGCCACCACCACGCAGCUCAGCGUCCUCGCGUCGCCGGACUCCUCCGCCAGCGCGUCGUUCGCCCACCCGACCGCGCGUCUCGUCCGUUCCUCCAGGUGCUUCACCGCGGCGGCUUGAAACGACGCGGCGAUGUCGGCGCGGAUCUUUCUCUUCGCUUUGUCUCUUUCCUCGUUUUCCCCGUUUUUGUCGUCACUCGCGGAUCCCUCCGGAACCUUCGGUGAACGAACCGUGGGUGAAACCGCUGGGGUUUGACCCGGCGCGCACAUCGUGGUGAACGCGGCGUCCCCGUCCGGUACCCCCAGGUCCCGCUCCACCGCCAACCUCGCCGCCGUCUUGAGCCCCGCGUAGGAAAAGUCGCAAUUUUUUUUCUUGCGAAGCGGCACCGGAAACGCGUACGCCCGCGGGUUCCCCUCUCUCGCCAAACGCUCCAACGCGGGCCCGCCGCCGCCGCCCACGUCCAGCCCCAACAACCGCGCCGUCUUAUCGUACGCCUCCCCGAGGGCGUCGUCCAGCGUGCUCCCCAGUAUGACGUGAUCGCCGACGCCCCGCGUUAAGAUGAGCUGGUUGUGCCCGCCGGAGACGAGCAGCGCGAGGAACGGGAACCGCACGAGCUCGGUGCCGCCCGCGAGCCUCGCGACCAACCCGUGCGCCUCCAUGUGGUGGACGGGAACGAUCGGUAUCUUGUGCGCCGCGCUGAGGUCCUGCGCGGCGACGACGCCGACGCGCAGGCACAUGGAGAGGCCGGGACCCACGGUGACGGCGACGGCGUCGAGGCGAGACGCAUCGACGCCCGCGUUCCGGAGCGCGGUCGUGACGACGUCGUCGAUGGCCGCCUUGUGCGCCUCCUGCGCGAGGUUCGGGACGACGCCUCCCCACGGCGCGUGGAUGGCGUCCUGCGACGUCUUGGCCUCGCCGAGGACGCGGCCGUCGCCGGUGACCACCGCCGCGCCGGUGUCGUCGCACGACGUCUCGAUGCCCAGGAUGAGGGUGUCCGCGUCGACGGCGACGGUGCGGCCGUCGGGUCCGAGGCGGUCGGGGGAGAGAGGGCCGGAGCCAAACCCGGUGGCGCGGCCAGUGAGACCGUCUAUGCGCGCGCGUCGUUCCGAAACCCCGCCGGCGGCGAACCCUCGGGAGGAGGGAUCCGGUCGGGAGCGGCGGGCGGCGGGGCGGUAGGGAUUCCGGACCGCCGCCGAACGCGCGGGGGACGACGACGACGCGCGCACGCCGCACGGCGUCGUCGUCACCUGCGCGGAGGCCAGAGCGGCCCGCAUCGCCGCACGGAUAUUUCUCACCGCGGCGGCCGUGGCGCGACAGCCAGCGCGCCUGGAGGAGUGCCCCGGCCACGGCAUACCAGGAUUCCAUCACGACUCGCACGCCGCUUCUCCGUUGAGCCAAAGUUUUACUUCGUAAAUCGCGUCGACGGACGCGGUAUCGUUCGCCUACCUCCGGCGCAUGACUAUCUUGAGAGCGCCCGUGUGCGGGGCCGCCGCCGCCGCGGGGGACGCGGGGAUCGCGUCCUCCUCCUCGUCGUAUUCCUCCUCCUCGUUCUCCUCCUCCUCCUCGUCCUCGUUCUCGUCUUCGUCGAUCCAAUUUUCGUUGGCAUCGUCGUCGCUGUCCAGUAUCUCCUCGAACCUAUCGACCGCCCUCGCCGCGGCCCUCCGCCGCGGAACGAGAUGCUCCUCCUCCUUCUUGUCGUCGUCGUCUUCGUCGCUCACCGUCUCGCCGCGUUCCUUCCUGAUCGCCGCGCGUAUCUGCAGCGGCUCGCCCCCGUGCGCCGCCUGCCUCGCCGCCCUGCUCAACCCGCGGCAACCGAGCACGUCGACGACCCGCAGCGUCUUGUGCCGCGCGUCCACCAGGCGCUCGAGGGCGCGGUCGGUUAUGUCCGCGCCCGCCACCCCGAGCGCCCUCAGGUUCGUCAAGUUGGUGGACAGCACGUCCAAACCCCGGUCGGACACGUCGUUGGCGUUCAUGUGAGACGUCCCGAGCUCCACCGUCUCCUGUGAACAUGACACGACGUCAUUCUAAUUGUCAUUACGGAAAGUAAAAAAAUAAUAAACGCAUCAAAUAAACGCACCAAGCUUCGCGCCAACGACGACGCCCACGGCCUGUCCACGGCGGCGAGAAACUCGAUCCCCUCGUCGCUCGCGAACCCCGUCUUAGCGGCUCGUAGGCACCUCAACGCGCCGAGCCACAACGAGGGUAUCCCCCACAGGUGAACGGCGCUGAUGGCGCACCCGGUGACGUCGAGGUCUUCCACGUUGGCGUUUCGCGUGAGCGCGUCGAGCACCUGUGAACAAAACACGACGUCAGUCAAAUUGCCCAUACUGGUAAUACUGGUACGAAAAUAAAAAAUAAACUCACGAAGGCGUCGACGUAGGAGGGCGUGAGGGAGUGACCGGUGCUGUGCGUGCGCGUCGCGGCGCCCACGUGCAGGGUUUUCAGGUUUUGCCACCCGGGGACGUCUCCGGCGAACGCGGCGCCCUGCGCGUUCGGUACGGUCGACCAGCCGCUCGCGCCGCCAAAGCCGUUGAGAAAGAGCGUCUCGAUGUUCGGGCACGACCGCUGGAGCUCGAGCCAAGGGAGGUUCUGGUGGUGCAUCCCGCUGUGACUGAGGUUCAGGUGACGCAACGCCAGGCCGCAGCACUUGUGCAGGUUGCGGAUGAACCCGCGGUCGAGGCCGGUGACGUCGGCGACGCUCAGUCUGGCGAGCUUGUCGGUGAGCAUCCCGGACACGAGCUGGUUUGUGGCGCCCAUCGAUCGCUGCUUCACGCGGUCCAGCGUCAGCUCCGUCAGACGCUCGCCGAGCGGUUUCAUCCCGGCCAGGGUCAUCUUCGACGUCCCGCUGACGUCCAACGACACGAGCUCCGGGCAGUGCUGGUGCAGCGCGCGGAGUGAGGCGUCGGUCAGGACGGCGCAGUCCGCGAGCGACAGAGACGUGAGCCGCGCCCAGUCGCCGUUGGCGCAGUACCGGCGUACGAUCGCGUCGGAGGGGCGCGCCCAACCGUAGGAGAGGUCCACGACUCGCCAGAGCGCCCUCGGAUCGCUGGCGACCGCGUGUCUCCACCCGCGGCAGACGGACGCGACGCGCGGGACGGUGGGCACUGCUCCCAGCCUGUGCGUCUCGCGACUCGGGUCCUCCGCGUCGUCCGCGGGCAACUCCGCGAUCCUCUGCAUGACGAGCACGAGGAUCUCGGAGGGCAGGUCGGCCCAGUCGAGACGCGCGCGCUUCAUGGCCCUCGCCUCCUCUCGACUCGCCGCGGCCCGCUCCCUCUUGAGCCGCGCGGCGCGUUGGGCCAUGGUCUCCUCCGCCAACUCCAAAGCGUCCAUCGCGCCCUAAUCUACCCAGUCGCAGGGGCUAGUUGCUGCGCUUCCAGAACGGCACCUUCUCGCUGUGCCUCUUUCGUUCGACGUCGUGCGGUGCCGUGUGGUUCGUGAUGCCGUAGACGUAGUAGAUGGCGGCGAAGGCGCACGCGGCUGCGACGGGGCCGGUCUUGAUGGCCCCGGGCGGCGGACGCGGCUGGCGCGCGCUCAUCGGGCUCUGAAAUAUUGCAACGGCACCAGUUUCAGCAGUUCACAGCUUCAGUUCCUGGUUCGUUGAAUUCAUCGGACUUGUCCGAUCUGGAGCCGGAGCGUCAUCACUCGGAGGAACACCAACCAUGGCCGCGACCCUAGCGCCGGGCGCGGCUCGCGCGGCGCCGUCCGCGCGUCCCACGCCCGCACGCGCGCUCAAACCGCGCGCGUCAUCCUCCGGGAACGCCCACGCGCGUCUCGGCCGCGUCGACGUCCGCGCGAGGGCCACGUCGACGACGGACGCCUCGCAAGCCUCGGUGAGCGCCGCGAAGCGCGCGCUUUACGACGCGGUGGAAGGGACGUACCGGGGCGCGGGGGCGUCGGCGAGCGAGCGCGCGGCGGUGGAGGAGGCGCAGGUGGCGCUGGAGACCCUCGACGUCGCCGGUGCCGCGGACAUCGAUCUGGAGCUGUUAUCCGGCAAGUGGAGGCUGGUGUACACGACCGCGGCGGAUGUGCUUUCGGUGCUGCGCAUACAGCGGGACCUCGGCCCGCUCUCGCCCGUCGAGGUGGGCGACAUCUUCCAGUCCUUCACCGCGGACGGGCGCAUCGAGAACGAGAUCAGGCUUUCGGUGCCCUUCCUGCUGGCGCCGGCGACGAUGGGCACAGACGGCGGUGUCGCGCUCAAGGUUGACGCCGACUACGCAAAGUGCGGCGCGAGGACGCUGUCGCUGACGUUCCAGGAGGCGAGGGUGACGGAGGUUCGCAUAUCCGACCUCGCCGAGACUCUCAUCGCCCCCGCGCUGCUGCCGAGGGGUUCGAUCAACCACCAGAUCUUGCUGGCGAUCAAGGAACUGGAGCUGAGGUUCCCGCUGCGAGGCGCGGUGACCGCGAUGGGGGGACCGGCGACGGGUGGACCGGCGCGCGGCGGCGACGACGGCGGCGGCGGAUCUAGGGCUCGUUCGGGGGGGGCGGCGGUGGGGGCGUACCUUCUGAGCUACCUGGACGAGACGACGCUGAUCGGAAGGGCGAGCGGGAGCGGUGGGACGUUCGUGUUCGAGCGCGCGUCUGGAGGACCACAGCGUAGUUAGUCAUAGACGAAAAUGAUUCACCUUUGGGGCGAAUGCGCGGUCUUUAUGCGCUAUGGCGGUACAGUCUGACAGUAUGGAAACGACGAAAAACGAAGCGGAUUUUGUGUGAUUUUGUUUUUUGGACAGAAUCAGAAGCCGAAGAGAGGCAUGCCGUGAUUGCGCACACCCAAAACCCGCGGUGAUUUCUGCCUCUGAACGCCCGAAGAAGGAAAUGGAGUCAUUUCCAAAAGAUUCAGGCCAAGCAAGCCGAAAUCCUGUCCUUAUUGGCCGGGGGAUCGAGAUUUUUCGCAAAAAGACACGGUCAAAAAGACACGUUGGCAAUUUCCUUUAUCGUCUCGAGGUAUCGAGACAACUUGACGAGUCCUGACCCAACACAAAAUCUGACGAAAUCCGCUACGCCUGAAGAUUUGGCAACUUGCACUUUUCACCCCAACAUUUGGGGGUGUCAUAGUAUCCACAAGCACGUUUGAGUUCGGGAAGUUGGAGCAUGACGAAGGGUACGGAAAACCCAUUGUUUUGCGGUUAAUAUUCUCCUCAUCCGCUUCGUCAGCACCGAAUCGGGUGCAAUACCGAAUAAAAACGUGAUGACUCCCCCAAACACUUUUUGGUGAAAAGUGCGCGUAGGGUCGCGUAUGGGCAAACAGACAGAAUCUCGUCCCGCCGAGGGCUCGCAUCUCGCCCGCGGCCGCGCGCAUUCGACGCCGCGCGCGCUCGACGGAACGCACGCGCGCUCCUUCGAAACGGGCGCGAUGGCGAAAGAAGAGGAGGACCGAGACCCUCAGUACGAGGAGGGCGACCCGAGCGGGAGCGGCGGCGGCUCCGGCGGCUCCGGCGGCGAGGGCGGCGGGAGCGGAGGAGACAAGGAGGUGCGCGAAAGGCGACUCGCACGGACGCCCCGUAUCCGCGCGCGACGCGUCUUACUCGUCGUAAACGUACCCGACAAACCCCGCUCGGCGUAGUAAACCCCUCUCAUCACCCGUCCCACGAUUCACCCCUCCAUUCGCAGGCGUCCGACGGCGAUGACAGCAACGGCAUGGACCAGGAGCGCGAGAACUCCGCGACCCGCUACUCCGGCUCGCAUCGCGAGGGCCACGACGACCACGGCCGCGGGUCGCGCGGAGCCUCCCCCGACGAGAUCGGCCAGGACGCGAGAUCGACGAAGAAGGACCCCUCCGAGGGUGACGACGAAGAGCUCGGCGUGGACGAGGAGAUGGUGGACGUCGACGGCGUCGACGGAAGCGACGAGGGGUCCGACGCGAUGCACAAGGAGACGCCCGUGAACCGAGCGGAUCAGCCCAACGCGAACGCCCCCCCCCGGUUCGACUUUCACGAUUUCCCGAGGAAGACCAACCAGGCGGACGUGGCCAACGCGGCGGUCACCGCGGAGGUGCGAGAGAGCCGCCGGACGCACGCGGCGGCGAUUCGCGCGCACGCCGAGGUGACGGCGAGCGCGUCGGCGGCGGGCGGCGGCGACAAGACGUCGUCAAAACCCGCUCACGCUCUC